GAGUUUCUCUGUCUUAAGGAGAGUUAAAAAAAAAAAAGGACCACAUCAACCCAGCUCAGGAUUAGCACAAAGCAAAUGUCUAAAAUCCUCCAAAAGCUAAAAAACUAAAUAGAAUUCUUUGCAGCUUUAUGCUAUAAAACCCACUUUGCUGAACUUGCAAUUACAGCAUUUAAAGCUGCCUCAGUUCCAGUAGAUGACCCUUAUAAAACACCUAAGUCUGAACUCUGUUACACCGCUGUGUCAAUCUGCCAAGGAGGCUUUUGAUUUGAAGACACGACCUCCGCUGUUGUCUCCUGCAAUUAAUCUUUAUGGAAGUGAUUAAAGGGCUUUAGAUAAUUACAUGUCAAGAUGAUGUAGCCAACCACCCGGGUCAGUCAAGAAAGCCACUAUAGCUCUGUGGAGGGCUGUUUUUUUUCUCCUUUAACAAAAGUGGCUGCACUCCUGCUGCUGAAGUAGUGGAUAUAAGGGGGCCUGAGGCGAUAUAGAUUAUUGGUUCUGUAAGCAAUACGCUUCCUUAAUGUCACCACAUAAGUAGCUGAUGAGAAUAGCUAAACAGAUGCACUCAUGUUCCGAAAGCAUGUGCGUGUAUGGAGGGAUGAUGUGGCUGCUGAAAAGGGGGCAGUUAUCUCAAACAGGGUGGGGGAAUGAGUGCCUUAUUUCUGCAGUGUUCUGGAAUGAGAGCUAAUCAGAGCACGGCGGUGGUUUACAUAGCGUCUUCUUUGUUCUGGCGUUUUUUUUUUCUGUGGAGAAGCGCUGGGGUUUGCGGGGAUAUUGAGUGGAAUUGAUGUUUUUAUGUGCGUGCAGGGGAGGGGGGGAUGACUAAUGACCUGUCAGAGGUAGAUUUCCUGGCAGAGAUAUAAAAACCAGCAUGACGUGGACAUGGCAAAUGACAUAAUCAAGUCUUUCCCUGUAAGAGAUGCAAUCGCGGAGGCAUAAUGCAAACGUCUGGUGUUUUUUUCGAGGGUUCAUUUCCAGUCGUUCUAGGACCUCUCAUAUUAGCCGGGGUGUAAUGUCUAGUCACUGAAUGAUAGAAUGCACACAUUUCUAUGCAGAUUGCUACUGAAGGGCAAAGAGGUAUUAAAGGGCAUGGAGAGGAGUAAGGUGUGUGUGUGAGAGAGGGAGAGCUGGCCUGUUUUGUGGAGGUCUUUCAGGUGACAGCGCCAUGUUUCUACGGCUAUUCAGUCUCAAAUGAUUCCCCUGAUGUGCUGCCAUUUCUGUGAUUUAGGUGCUCGGCCACUAUUACGAUGAAAGAGAAGAAAUGUGCGUGCGUGCGUGUGUGUGUGUGCAUGUGUGUGUGUAAGGGUAGGACUUGCACUGAGGGUGACGGAGGGAGCUGUGGUUCUUAUAUACUCUCUCUACAGCCAGCUGGUGCCUACCUGGAAGCACAGGGUCAGGGAUACUUUAUCUUUCCAAAACAUAAACCCCAGGCCUUGGCUGCACACACAUCAGUUGCAAAAGCAAUGUCCUGCCUCGAGCCACGGUUUGUAAGAAUAGUAUAUUACAUACUUUGUUGCCCUGUAGACAAUAUUGUCCUGUUGCUGUCUCCUCUUAAAGUGUACCUUACCCCCCCCCCCCCCCCAAAAAAAACGAAAGGCAACAAAAAACAACAGAAUUUCAAGGUUUUGUAACUGCUCAGCUGACGUGUCCUCGCCCACAGCUGUUAUUUCAGAAAUAUUUCUCAUAUUCUUUAUUAAAAAAAAUACAUUACUUUUUUUAAAAAACCAUCAAAUCACAUGUGAAUUAUGUGGAACGUGUGUCUUUUUACAUUUGAAACAUGUGUUUCACAUAGAGAACUUGUGAUUUUGGAACAUUUUCAUGGCUUGUUUUUCAAAGCCAACGUUCAAUGCAUUUUCAGAUUUAUUUGGCAAUAUGUGUUCAUACUGUUUGUGAUCACAUGGAGAGAUUAUGGGAAAUGUAUGCAGAUUUUACAACCAUAUUGGUGAAAAUUGGGAAACAAGUGUGUGUAGUUUUAUCAUGAAAUUAGACCUGAGCUCAAGUGGCGAUUUAACCAUGAAAUAUUAUUUGGGCGGGUAUUAUAUAAAGGUAAUCAUCACCAUUCAUAAUACAUACUAUACCAUAUGUCCGAAAUGGCCAUGCUUUGCCUCCAUAAAUUCUGAUCUGAUAACAUAUACACAAAAGAAAAUAAGAAAUAAUGGCAGUUCUUUCUAUGUGUUAGAAAAUGAUCAAUUGCAACACAAACAAGAAACAGAUCUUUAUCAAGAAAGGUAGACAUAAGAUGUCAAUGAAAACUCACGGUCUCUGAAAUUAAAGAUGAAACAUGUUUUGGAUUCUAUUGAGAUGUGGCCAUUUUGUGGUUAAAGGCCUUUUAUUCCCAGAAAAAAAGUCUGUGUUCCUUGUGUUGCCUUGUUGGCUCUUCAUACUUAUUCUGCUUCCCUCAGUAGGCAGUAGUCUAUAACCAGUUAAUGUUUGGAUUACAUUUCCUCACAGCACAGUUUGCCUGAGCCCUAUUUAACUUGGUAAGCCUCGCGAUGAUUAUGGCACAGUCAUUAUCAAGGGUUGAAAACAUGACGAAAAAGGGGGGAAAGGGUUGGAGGAGAGGAGUGGAGGUGAGGUGAGAGAGCGCUGUGUGUGCAACACAAACCCCUGGUGAAAUGAAUUGGUUGUGUAGCGAGGAGUAUUUGUUUUAGGCAGGAAUUGUGUGGCUCUCUGCCAGGCAGCCAGACAAGCUUCUAAGUUUCCAAGUCAGCAGUGCCCUUAAAAAAAAAAGCUCCCCCCAUUACAGCAGGGAUGUAGAGAUAAUGUAGUGUGACACACGUUAUGUACACUGGGUCUCGGCAAGAAGAGCUUCAGGGACACAGGUGUCAUAAGAGCCAUUAAUCUACUAUUGUCACGUGUUAUUGCAAAUUAAAAGUAGCAUGUUACACUUGGCAGCCAUUGUUGCGGACAUACAGAGCAGGGGGGGGGGGGGGAGGUGGAUAGAAAGAGGGAGAGACCUCUGGAGAUGGUGACCACGGCUGUCCGCAAAGUGACAUAUAUUAGAAUUUGCAAUUCUGCAGAGAAAAGCUAUUACCUCACAGAUUAACAUCCACGACUCCUCCAUCCCCCCACUGCUUCUGACACCGUAGAAAAAAACAAAAGGAGAAGCUGCUCCUCUCAGGGUGAAAUGUGAAGCUUUCAUACAGUACGUAUGUUUAAGUACAAAUCUGCUCUUAUGGCUGUUUUGUUCACCAUCUUGUUAUGAGUUAGUGUUCGCUUGGGCUGAAUUAACCCUGAGCAGACAUCUAGAAGUUUUUUUUUUUGUUUUUGAGAGCAUGUCCAUGAAGUGUGUCCGGUCUUUCAAAGUCCUAACACACGUCUUUUCAAAGCAAACCUCCAGAUUGCACAAUCAAACCUGUAGACGACUUUUAAUUUGACCCAUUCUGAUCUCUUUUCUCACUUUGUGCCGCUUUCUUCUUUAUUUAUGAGAGAAUCAUCGAGAGAGAAAUUUCAUGAUAAGAUGAUCAUCAUAUAUUUAAAAAAAAAAAAAAAAGCCCAACAACAAUAGCCAGUGGCAGUCAGAAUGGAUGUGAUUCUGUGCUUCAGUGGCUUUUGAAUUAAUUAUUUCUUCUCUCUGAGCGUCGUGAGGACUGAGCCCGAUGUGUGUGGAUGGAGAUGAGUGAUAGAGCGGGCCGCCGUCACACCCUGCUCUGUGUAUCAGCAUCUGUUUUGGGGGAGAGGAAGAAUCAACAAAGGAACUAUGAGCACUGCAGAGUGUCAGCACCUCCAGUGCAAAAAUGUGAUUAAUAAAGCCUUUAAGAGCUCAAGAAAAUCAAAGUAAGCAAUGUUUAAAAAAGCAAAAAAAAAAGCAAAAUGUCUCCUAAUUUUCUUAUGCUGUUUGAUAGACAGCGUUUGCUCUUUAAAGACAUUUCAAAACGAUCACAUGAUAGUGAGUAAAGAAUCAGAAUUCCACUUUCAAAAAGCUGCAAAAACGAAAUAUUUGGCAAUUUUGAAUAACUGAUUUUCAACCAUUUUCUCAUUAAUCUUCAAUCUAAUCUCUUCCCACAACGAUCAAAGAUCUGUUGAGGCGUGUAUCAAACAAAUUCAGUAUUUCAUUUAUGUUAACAUAAUCCAAACACUCAAUUAGACAAACCACAAUGAGGCUGAGUUCAUCCAAUUUGUUUUCAUUUCAUUUCAUUAAGCAGGAAUUGAAUUAGGAGGGAAGUUAUGAAGGUGUAUUAUUGUGAAAUACAUCACAAUGUGUUGAGGGAAUGAGCGAGUAUGUAUGUUGACAUGUUAUUUAAACGUGGAGCCAACUGAGGGAUUUGGGGGGGGGGGGGGGGGUUUGAGGCUCAGUCUUUAGAGGGGGGGCUUUCAUGACCUCAAGGUGCCAGCUCACCUCCUCUUUCCUCGAACAAAAAAAAACUCAGUAAGUCUCUUUUUAUUGUGUGAUAACUUCGACUUUUAUUUAAAAUCAUUCUCUCUCCUCUAGAGGACUUUCAGAAAAGAUACCCAGACCGCUCAAUCUGCACUUCAUUUGUGGUAAUUGUUCUGUUGUUGUUUGGCGGGCAGUCACUCAGACUCACUCCCAACUCCCCUGAGUUACGUUGUCUAAAGCCUCCUGCUAGGGGUCUUGACCUCUGGGUGCCGAACCCGCAGAGAGGAGUCUGCUUUAUAGAGCUGGUUAUCUGAUCUGAUGGAGGCUGCUCCCUCGUUACUGGAGUGUUAAUACAGAGCGAUGUCAAGAUGAAUACACUCAACUACAAUCCGAUGAUCAAUAAACGACCACAGAGCGGGACAAGCGUGUAAUGCACCAACAAAGCCACUGUGGUCAAACAUUAGAAUAAUGGGCACAUUUGGAGAUGUCCAAAUAUUGGAAGUGACUUCUUGUAGUGAUGAGAAGAGCUUUCAGGCCCGACCUGAAAACUUUUAGGGUAAAUAAUUGUUUGAAAUUGAUCAGUUACUGAAAGGAAAACGUUUGGUAAACCUCCCUAAGUUGACAUGACAGAAAAUAUAUUUGUUUUCAGUAUUUUUCACUUGUUGAGUUAGGUGUGAUAAGUUCUUGCACAAAACAGAUCUAUGGAAAGAUGAGGUCUGUUUGGAUUAAAAUGACUGCUUUAUCAAAGUAAAGAGAUCUUUGUUGACACGGUUACAGUAACAACCACAAAGGGUGGGGGAUUAGGGAACUAUUGUUGUUGAAAGACACCAACUAAGACGAGAAAAAAAAAUGCUGUUUGGGGCAGUUUAUUAGGAGUUUUAUGAUAUACUUUGCUAUCAAAUAAAUGGUUAUGUUUGCAUAGCCCUGAUGGGCAUACAAGAAAGCGACACAGAUAUUCAAUAUGUCGCCAGAAUCGUCUUCAUCGUUGCUGACUUGUCUGGUGGGGAUCGGUAUUUGGGAGGGCAGAUGGGUCUGUCCUCAGCCUGAGUGGGAGGAAGAGUGUGUAGGUUGACCCAGGAUGGUUUGUCUUGUGUGUGGGAAGUGUAUUCCUCAGUGGUUGAAUGACAAAUAUGGUGUGUGUGUGUGUGUGUGUGUGGGGGGGUAUUGAUCAGGUUUGGUGGCUCAGGCCGGCUGAUGGAUAGUAAUUAAUGACUCUAUUUGCGCUGGUAGCAAAGAGAACAAUUGAGUUUGAUAAAGUGACAUGAAGCAGCUAUGGGAGCUGAGGGCCUUUUACUGAGGCUGAGCAGAACAAUGCUAAAUAUUUACCUGAAUUUGAUGAAAAGUUAAGAGCUGUUGUAUUGUUUUCAUGUGUUGAGUGAACAUGUUAAACCAAUUCACCUAAAUAUGAAGCUAGAGUCCUGUAAGCUAUGUUUAGCAUUAGUUGGAAGCAGGUUGGAAUGGGGCACUGCGACUACUUUAUAUUUUGAAUUUUGCACGAAUUAAACAAGAUAUGAAGUGUAAGUACGGUUAAGAGAUCUAGGCAUUGGAGAAAACCAAGCCAGCUGUUUGACUCUUUCACAGUUUAAUGGCUAUGAACCGCCAAGCAGCAUCUGACUUUUCCCUGAAAUUACAAAUGAUUCCUUUAAACUGUGCGUCGAUUUAAUAAAUAUAUAUUUUUAAAGUGUUCAUGCUUAAAUUAGAACUUUCUGUCUAAAUAUGUCAAGAAAUUACGUUAAAACCGUACCAAAUAUCAUGACUAAAUUAAGGUAAAAUGUGUGUAAAUAAUAAUGAACACAGAAACUUCAUCGAGCAAAUAUAUCUAUAUUCAAAUGUUUGAAACAUAAAACAAGUCACUGUCAUGGGAAAACUAUGCUUUUUGCAACUCACUAUUUCAGACAGAAAAAGAUGAUAAAGGUUUUUUAAGAUAAAAUGAUGGAAUUUAACAUUUUGUUCAUUUGACUCAAAAUGUGGAGUUCUAUAGAUUUCACUGUAAAGAGAAGAACUGUUGUAAAGUGUGAAGAUGUGAGAUUUAAUUUAGUGAUUAUAUCAAGAGUUUGAUGAUCUGGAUUAAAAUCAUAAUAACAAUACUUUGGUAAUAUUAAUAAUACCUUGGUAUUAUUAUUAGGUAUAUCAUAGUGAUGCACCAAUCCAUUACCUGGUGCACACUUUUUCCUCAAAUUUAGAAUCUGUUUACCCCACUGUGUCAAACUCAUGUAAGGCAACAUGAGGACAGGGCUUGCCCCAUGCCCUUCAGAUCUGAUUAUGCAACGUGUAAUUUUUACUGUUAACAAUCUGGCAAAUCAGUUAUCACUUCCAAAUAAGUCACGCAUUCAUUUGUGCAGUGAAAACAGAA